rnacentral:snRNA from 1 species
GUGCUCGCUUUGGCAGCACGUGUACUGAAAUUGGAAUGAUACAGAGAAGAUUAACAUGGUUCCUGCACAAGGAUGACACAAAUUCAUGACAAUAAAAAAUAUUCU